rnacentral:rRNA from 1 species
UUUCUAGUGUAGAGGUGAAAUUCGUAGAUAUUAGAAAGAAUACCAAAUGCGAAGGCAGCUUUCUGGAUCAUUACUGACACUGAGGAACGAAAGCAUGGGUAGCGAAGAGGAUUAGAUACCCUCGUAGUCCAUGCCGUAAACGAUGUGUGUUAGACGUUGGAAAUUUAUUUUCAGUGUCGCAGCGAAAGCAAUAAACACACCGCCUGGGGAGUACGACCGCAAGGUUAAAACUCAAAUGAAUUGACGGGGACCCGCACAAGUAGUGGAGCAUGUGGUUUAAUUCGAAGAUACGCGCAGAACCUUACCAACACUUGACAUGUUCGUCGCGACUUUAAGAGAUUAAAGUUUUCGGUUCGGCCGGACGAAACACAGGUGCUGCAUGGCUGUCGUCAGCUCGUGUCGUGAGAUGUUGGGUUAAGUCCCGCAACGAGCGCAACCCUCACUUUUAGUUGCCAUCAUUUAGUUGGGCACUCUGAAAGAACUGCCAGUGAUAAGCUGGAGGAAGGUGGGGAUGACGUCAAGUCCUCAUGGCCCUUACGUGUUGGGCUACACACGUGCUACAAUGGUAUCUACAACAGGAAGCAAAACUGCGAAGUUAAGCAAAUCCUUAAAAGAUACCUCAGUUCGGAUUGCACUCUGCAACUCGAGUGCAUGAAGCUGGAAUUACUAGUAAUCGUGGAUCAGCGUGCCACGGUGAAUGCGUUCCCGGGUCUUGUACACACCGCCCGUCACACCAUGGGAGUUGGUUCUACCUUAAGGCAAGGUUUCAAACCCUUGACCACGGUAUAGUCAGCGACUGGGGUGAAGUCGUAACAAGGUAGCCGUAGGGGAACCUGCGGCUG